rnacentral:tRNA from 1 species
GGGGGUGUAGCUCUGUGGUAUAGCAGUUGCCUAAUAUGCAUGAGACACUGGGUUUGAUUCCCAAUACCACCA